UCUCUCAGGAAGGCCUAACAUUUUGCUC
rnacentral:piRNA from 1 species